GUUGUACAGUUGUAGGGAGUAUUAUCUUUGACAUGAGGGUGAGUUGUUGUACAGUUGUAGGGAGUAUUAUCUGUGACAUAAGGGUGAGUUGUUGUACAGUUGUAGGGAGUAUUAUCUGUGACAUAAGGGUGAGUUGUUGUGCAGUUGUAGGGAGUAUUAUCUAUGACAUAAGGGUGAGU